CCAGAACAUAACCAUAUCGGCAACACUAAUUGUAUGCAAUAUAAUUGUCAUAAAUAUACUUGACAGACGUGGUCCUGAUUGAAAUUCAGCAUCGCGUUAGUUCAUGCAGGCCACGUCAGUCAAGCUCGCAUCAGCUGACAGUCAGCUGUUCCUGACAUGUACCAAUCGAGUCUUGACACCUAUCACAAGCAGUCUAUUUAAAUUUCCAUUCUUCAGCUUCUUUUCCAUCGCAUCGCUGCUUGCAAUUAUCUCCCUUCUCCAACCCCAACUCCACCAACUGAACCUGUAAUCCGAUCUGACUUUUGUUUCUUCCUUUACAGUCACUUCAUUGGAAGCAUUCUCUAUCAUGUUUCAUUUUACAACUAAUGUAAUUGUGAAUUGUAAUUAUGUAUGCGUAUAAUGGUUCUGUUCUUUACCCCAGGGGGGAUUGUCUUGCUGCUCUCUUAGCUCUGUAUAAGCAUGGCUGCAUGGACAGGCGUGUGGAGUGUUGCCCAGAACAUAACCAUACCGCCAACACUGAAAUAUAAUUGUCAUAAAUAUACUUGACGGAAGUGGUCCUGAUUGAACUAAGUGUUUGUGUAGAGAGUGGAAGCUGAAGUGUGCUUAAUGCAUGAGGCGCCAGCGCGAUCACUUCAUUGAAUUCUUCACUGGAAACAAGUAGGCUACGCUGUCAUUUUUGCUCAUACAGAGAAAACAAACAGGAUGUGCUUGCUGUCUCGUGAACAGGGAAAUGUCCAGCUCGGGCUGAAAUGCAAAGCUCUAAAAUCAGGAGAGAUGAGGCGAUUCUGAGAGAGAGACAAAGAAACUGGCCAAAAGAGACACGCGUCUAGCAGAGAGAAAAAAACGGGUUCCAUGGGGUAGAAGGUGCUGAGAGACGGUGGAAUUCCGGGAGUGUGGAGAUCAAGGAACUGAGAGAACAGGACAAGAAGGCCAGCAGAACUAGUGGAGCCAGGGGACUACCACAAGAAAAAGGACUUCUUAAAGAACAGAGUGAUCAUCAGAACUGGACAUCCAGAGAUUUCCAGACCUGCAAGAUUCAGAACUCCAAGCCUAAAAGAUCUAGAACCCCUGAGACCCACCAUGCCAUGGAUGGACCUGAUGGAACUUCACAAACUACAACAACAGCAAUGACUACUUCUUCUAGAAGGACUUUUCCAAAUUGAAAUGAAUGGACAAUGGACAAGAGAAACAAAGUGUUCAAACUAUUUUCAGAGACUGUGGACAGCAGUCUUAUCACAGAGAUGGAAAACAAGAUAUUAGAAAUGCACAAAGACAGACUCUCUGCACAUAAUACCAGAAAGAGACAAACAUAUGCAUACUCGAAUGCAGAACAUUGUCUACUGAACGCACACAUGUGACAAAGGAUGUCCACACUGAGAGAAUGGACACAAUGCUGUGACAAAAAUCCAUUUGGGUUUAUCUGUGAGUGCGAUGCUUUGGAAAAACAACCAUAGUGUGGAGCACCCCAGACAAACUAUGAAUCAUGUGAAAUCAACCUAACUCAUCUUCACAAUAAAUUCACUAGGGUAAUAGUUUCAGACAAGAAAACAUGAAUUACCACAACUUUAAAUCACUUCUCCAUCUUUAUCGAUAAUAACCAGACAUUAUGUCCAAUUAAUGAUACUUCAUUAUGUAUAACCCCCGAGUCAGCCUGGUCUUUAGGAAAUUAUCAUUUUCCAUAUGUAAGCACCACUCAACAGGCAAUGUCAGUAAAGCCAGAGGAACAACUGGGCUUUUUAGAAGAGAUCCCUGAAUUUGAGUUUGAGUUACCAAAACUGGAUGAUAUGCAAAGGAAAGAUAACCAUAUUGUUAAAGCUCAACAAGGUCUUGAUGAAAAGGAUAAGGCUUUAACUAAACAAAUGCAUGAUGGAGAUUUAGUUAUUGCAUACUCUGGUUUGAUUUGGGAUAUAACUUUUAAAACUGAUGUUUGUGUUUGUAUCUUCCUAAUUAUGUGUCACUGCAUUAUAUUUUGCUGUAUGUGUUCUAUGGUGUAAAGUCAAAUUGCAGAUAGUUCAGUGAUCAAUGUUGGACGUUCUCGUUGGUUGUGAUGGUUCUCGAUUACUUCUUCUAAACCCUAGAAACAUUUUUCAAAUUUAAACAAACCCGUGAUACUUUUGCAAAUGAAACGGAGUUGUAACCAGUGUGCAUGAGGUGUCGACCCAAUGACGGGUAAGAUUCUCCAGUGGCCAGAGGGGGACAACCUAAGCCAGGGCUUCACUGCCACUGGGCACCUACCGAGGAAGGGAGGUGUAAUCUGUGUAAGGAAGUGGAUGUGAUGCUUCUUUUGGGCCAAGAGCAUCAAAGAGGGGACUGUAAGAAAUUAUACUCUGUCUCGACCCAGCUUCCACUCCAAAUUGUGUAUUAAACUAGGCUCCUUUCCCCACAAAGAGCUUAAUUAUCAUAGAGAGUUAUUUCCGAUCUUAAUGAUAUGUAAAUAGUACCUCUGGAGUGAUAAUUUGUCACUUAUAGCGUGGGAGUAGCAGCAGGUCAUCAAGAACCAUCGGGAAUGGAAGGCUAUCACUUUCAUUUUUUUUUCGCAGUGUUGAGUGGGAAGAUGAACGUAAUACAGUAUAAAAUGUUUGAGCUUAGGAUGUUCGGGGUUCAUUCCAACUCCGUUGAACCCAAGGUACUACGUGUACAUUGUCACUGCUAUGCUGCUAUAAACAUCUUCGUCAAGAUCUUCAACGUCCUCACCACUUCUUCUUACAGUGUACAAAUAAAUAACCACACCGGUGCUCCCGCUGAUGGUUCACUCGCAUGCAGGUACUGAAAGUUUGGCCAAAUACUUAAACUUACAGGGAGCUUUAUCAUGAUAUCAAAUAUCAUUACUGAUUGCUUAUUAAUAGGAUGAUGUUCUGUAAUGGUGCU
ensembl:lncRNA